GACGAACCGGACGAACGUUAUUCGGAAUUACUGGGCUUAAAGAGUACGUAGGCGGCCAAGCAGGUGAGGUGUGAAAUCCCUCGGCUCAACCGAGGAACUGCGCUUCAAACCGCUUGGCUUGAGGGAGAUAGAGGUUAGCGGAACUGAUGGUGGAGCGGUGAAAUGUGUUGAUAUCAUCAGGAACACCAGUGGCGAAGGCGGCUAACUGGGUCUCUUCUGACGCUGAGGUACGAAAGCUAGGGGAGCGAACGGG
rnacentral:misc_RNA from 1 species